rnacentral:rRNA from 1 species
UACGGAGGGUGCAAGCGUUGUUCGGAAUUACUGGGCGUAAAGCGCGUGUAGGCGGUUGGGCAAGUCAGAUGUGAAAGCCUUCUGCUUAACAGAAGAAGUGCAUUUGAAACUACCCGGCUAGAGUACGAGAGAGGAGAGUGGAAUUCCCGGUGUAGAGGUGAAAUUCGUAGAUAUCGGGAGGAACACCAGUGGCGAAGGCGGCUCUCUGGCUCGAUACUGACGCUGAGACGCGAAAGCGUGGGGAGCAAAC